GGGUGACAGAGCAAGAUUCCGUCUCAGAAAAAAAAAAAGGAAAGAAAGAAAGGAAGGAAGGAAGGCACUGCUGGCUGCGUGGUGGAAACCAGUCUGCUGGAGGGCAAGAGUGGAAGAGGCCAUUGCAGUCACUCAGGCCAGCGGAGACGUGGGUCUGGCCGGGCCACGGCAGUGGAGGCGGGAGGAGCGUAGGGUGCAGGGUGCAUAUUCUGGCUGCAGAGCGGGGUUUCUUGGGGCGCUGCUACCGACAUUUUGGACUGGAAGACACUUCACUGUGGGGUCUGGCCUGUGCACUGUAGGGUAUUUAGAAGCAUCCCUGGCCCCAAUCCACUAGAAACCCAUAGCCCUACCCACCCCCAAUUAUGACAAUAAAACAUGUCUCCAGACAUUGCCAAAUGUGCCCUGGGGGCCACGGUCCCUCUGGGCUGAGAACCACUGCUGCAGAGCCUGCAGAACUCAGGGCUAGAUUGUGCAUGGAUUUGGAGCGAAAGAGAGAAAACAAGCACCACCAGGGGUUUCUCAUCUCAGCAAUUAAGUGGGGCAGUUACUGAGUUCAGGAAGCCUUGGAGCCAACGGCCGCUGUCAGGUUGAACACUGGAAAACAACAUUGGAAACUACAGUCUGGAGCUCAGGGAGUAUCUGGGUUGAAGGGAGAGACGGGAAUGUUGCUGGGGUGCAGCUCUCCAGGGACAGAGUGUGGACGGAGAAGAGCCAAAGAGACAGCUCCAAUGUCACAGCCUCAGAAAGAGCGGACACCAGGCCAGUGGGCCUCACAGGAGCCAGGGGAGACACUUGCAGGAGCAGGAGCAGGAGCGGUCUGCUGGGUCAGAUGCGGGGAUGUCUGAGUAGCAUGCGGACAGUGAGCUGGGUGAGGAAGGAGGGAAAAGCUAAGCCCCUUCCCAGCUGCAGGCUUCCUACCUGCAGCAAGCUCAAGACAGCAGAGGCAAGAAGACUUCAUUUUCACUCAAAUUCAGGACGGGACAUUUAACCUUCCUGCAGUGAGACAGUUUUUAUUAACUAAGAGCAACCAGAAACGUAAUAGGAUUGCCUGAGUUUGCAGCAGUGGCCGAGAAGAGGUGAUUCCCCUGACUAAAUCAGGACAGAGGAAGGAGUUGCUUUGUGAUUUGAUCCUGAAAGUGCUGCUAAUUCAACGCAUUGGCCACAUUUGGUCUGUAGGCACAAGGCCAGGGUUGAGAGAGCUGCUGAUGGGGGACCUGUGAUGGCCUGGAGCCCAGCCCAGCCUGUCAGCUGUAGGUGGGACUUCCCAGACCCGUCCAACCCAAAGCUCCACCACAGAGAGGAGACAGCCAUGAACUUGAGUACAGCGGUCCUGAGCCCCUAGAAGAAGAGCCGGGACGUGAUCCACGUGGUCACUCCAGCAUGGCCAAGCACAGGCAAGCAUCUGCAGACUUCUGGAAGGAAUUGCGGCGAAGCAUCUUCGAAGGAUGUUAGAGGCCCCCAGGUGAAGAUAGAACCAGAGGAUAGGAUUUGCUUCAGUAAAGCAAAGAAGAACGUAGCUCCUGACUGGCUGCCACAUAUGUGUCUGAGCAGCGAGUUCCAGGGACCUUCUCAGUGAUGCCGAUGGCCUCUCCAGGCAAAUAGCGCAGGCCUGGCCGGUAUCCAGAAGGAACUCCAGGCUGCCUCUCCUUCCCGGACGCACACCCUCCCCUGGGGAAAGACCCCAGACAGAGCCCGCGGGGCCUACAAAUAGCAGAGUCCCUGGCUCUGAGCACAGGCAACGGAGAGGGGACGGGAAACGGGACUCGGGCGCCAAGUCACUCCCCUGCCUCGCCCUGGCGGAAGGGCAGGCGUCACACCUCUAGGAGGAAGGCAGAUGUGAGAGGGCUGAGCCCUUCCGGGGGCUCAGAGGAUCAAAGGCACUGACAUCCUAAGAGAAUUGGAAACCAGAAACAGGGCCGGGCGCGGUAGCGCACGCCUGUAAUCCCAGCACUUUGGGAGGCCGAGGCGGGCGGAUCACGACAGAGCGAGACUCCGUAUCAAAAAAAAAAAAAAGAAAAAACAAAAUAGAAACCGGAAACAGGAUGAGCUGGGUCUGCAGAAGCGGCGUGUGGGACCCAUUCCCCGCAAGGGCUUUGUGGAUAGGAACCCAGCACAGACUUCCCUCUUAUCAACAGGACCGAGGCAUGAGAACACGAGGGUCAGCCUGGGCUCCCUGACCGCAGUCUCCUCAGAAGGGAGUCUGGACAGCGAGUCUUGCCUCUGCUGCUCCUCUGGGGCCUCCUGAUGCCUGGCAGGGAGAGGAGCCACCGUGUGAGGGUUUCUGAAAUUAAACUGUUCUCAGAGUCGCAGCUGUCAGGAAGGGACAGCAAGAGCCAGCUGACAGGAGCCUGAAUCUUUCCAACGCAAUCCAUCUAGGAUGGGAAAAGAAAGACCAAUUUCCAGCCUUGCCAGACUCCUAGGGAUGGGCUGAGCAUGCAGACUCUGUCACUCACCAGCCGCUGACCUUGGCCAAGCACCUCAUUGUCUCUGAGUCUUGGUUUCCUUAUUCAUAAAACGAUAAAAGUCCUGAUCUCACAAGGCUGAUGUGGGAGCCAGAAAUAGCGAUGCUGUGUGACAGGCCCGCAACCCUUCCAGUUCCUCUCCCUCACCAGCAAGCCAGAGGCCUGUUUUAUUCAGGGUUUCUGGCAGCCACAUGCUUCAGGAGAAGCAGGACUCCCUGGGAGCCUAGCACAGUGUCUUGAUUGGUCUAAGCCAGUCACGGUGACCCAGUGAUUAGUUUAUGAACGGGCGUGUAACUUCAUUCUGACUAACAAGACACGAGAGGAAGUGUCUGGAUGAAUUUGGGGAAAGUUUCCCUUACUCUUAAAAAAAGAGCUAUAAAGAAGGGGCUUUCUCUCUUUCUGACCUUUGGGUGUGGUUGGGUGAGAACAUGAUACUUAGAACUGCUGCAGCCAUAUUGUGACAUAAAGGGAUAAUACCCAACAUAAAAGCCAAGAGGCUAACGAUGGCAGAGUGUCGAGAUGAAAAGAAGCCAAGUCCUUGGUGACAGCCUUGAGCGGUUGAAUUAAUUUCCCUUGGGAUGUCCCCAACUUGAGACAUCUCAUUAAGUGAGAGAAUGCUGUCCCAAGGUCAGAGACACGGGACAGUGGGGGUCAGGGGCAAAGGCUCUAGAGCUUGACUGCCCAAUCCACCACCACUACUACUGAGGACUUUUGGCUUGUUUAUUUUCUCUCUCUUCUCAGUUUCCUCAUCUGUGAAAUGGGGAUGGUGAUAAUAACCGUAUCUGGUUUAUGAGAUCAUUGUGAGGAUUUAAGGGGUUAAUGUGUAGAAAGUAUUCAAAUCGCGUCUGGCACAUGGUAAGUGUCAUGUAAGUGUCAGCUAUGACUAUUGCAAGCCAUUUUGACUUUUUCUGUUAUUUAUAUCUCAAAGUAUCCUCUUAAAG
rnacentral:lncRNA from 1 species